GCCAGAGAUGGCUUAGUGCUCGAAAGAGAACCGUAACACAGGUGCUGCAUGGCUGUCGUCAGCUCGUGUCGUGAGAUGUUGGGUUAAGUCCCGCAACGAGCGCAACCCUUGUCAUUAGUUGCUACAUUUAGUUGGGCACUCUAAUGAGACUGCCGGUGACAAACCGGAGGAAGGUGGGGAUGACGUCAAGUCCUCAUGGCCCUUAUAGGUGGGGCUACACACGUCAUACAAUGGCUGGUACAAAGGGUUGCCAACCCGCGAGGGGGAGCUAAUCCCAUAAAACCAGUCGUAGUCCGGAUCGCAGUCUGCAACUCGACUGCGUGAAGUCGGAAUCGCUAGUAAUCGUGGAUCAGAAUGUCACGGUGAAUACGUUCCCGGGUCUUGUACACACCG
rnacentral:rRNA from 1 species